UGCCAGCAGCCGCGGUAAUACGGAGGGGGCAAGCGUUGCUCGGAAUUACUGGGCGUAAAGCGAGCGUAGGCGGAUAGUCAAGUUGGUGGUGAAAGCCCAGAGCUCAACUCUGGAACUGCCAUCAAAACUGACUUACUUGAGAUUGGUAGAGGGAAAUGGAAUUCCUAGUGUAGAGGUGAAAUUCGUAGAUAUUGGGAAGAACAUCGGUGGUGAAGGCGAUUUCCUGGGCCAAUUCUGACGCUUAAGGACGGAAGUGUUGGGGGGCAAAAGGAUUAGAUA
rnacentral:rRNA from 1 species